GUGGCGAACGGGUGAGUAACGCGUGAGUAAUCUGCCUCAGAGAGGGGGACAACAGUUGGAAACGACUGCUAAUACCGCAUAAGCCCACGGCUUGGCAUCGAGCAGAGGGAAAAGGAGCAAUUCGCUUUGAGAUGGCCUCGCGUCCGAUUAGCUAGUUGGUGAGGUAACGGCCCACCAAGGCGACGAUCGGUAGCCGGACUGAGAGGUUGAACGGCCACGUUGGAACUGAGACACGGUCCAGACUCCUACGGGAGGCAGCAGUGGGGAAUAUUGCACAAUGGGGGAAACCCUGAUGCAGCAACGCCGCGUGAGUGAAGAAGUAUUUCGGUAUGUAAAGUUCUAUCAUUGGGGAAGAUAAUGGCGGUUCCUGAAUAAGUAGGUCCGGGCUAAAUACGUUCCCGCCGCCGCGGUAAUACGUAGGAGCCAGCGUUAUCCGGAUUUUCUGGGUGUAAAGGGUGGGUAGGUGGCAUUGCAAAUUAGAUGUGAAAGUCUGGGGCUUCACCCCGUAGCUGCAUUUGAAACUGCAUAGCUAGAGUGCAGUAGAGGCAGGCGGAAUUCCUAGUGUAGCGGUGAAAUGCGUAGAUAUUAGGAGGAACACCAGUGGCGAAGGCGGCCUGCUGGACUGUUACUGACACUGAGGCACGAAAGCGUGGGGAGCAAACAGAAUUAGAUACCCUGGUAGUCCACGCCGUAAACGAUGAUUAAAAGGUGUGGGGGCUGUAUCGCCUUCGGUGCCGCACGCAAACCCAGUAAGUAUAUCCACAUGGGGAGUGCGCUCGCAAGUAAUGAAACUGCAAAGGAAUCGAGGAGGACCCGCGACAAGCAGUGUCGGAGACAGUGCGGUUUAAUUUGAAUGCAACAGAGAAGAACGUUUAACAGUUCGAGACCUCUCUUCGUCCGCGCGGUGAUGGGGGGUCUCGUUUUGCGCACACGAAGAGACAGGUGGCGCAUGGUUGUCGUCCAGCUGGAGUCGGGAGAUGGUGUCAGUGUCCAGCGACGAGUGCACCUCUCAUUCUCAGUAGCCAUCAUGGACAGGGGGGGCCCUGUUGCAGAGCCAGCCAGGGAAAACGAGGAGGGAGGAGCGGGAGGCGUACAAAUUCUCAUUCCCUCAACGAUAUGGGGGACACAGGGGUUACAAGGGAGGUCCCAGAGUGAGGAGAACCCGUGCGGCGGAGCAAGCCACAAAAAGCCCGUCCCAGUUCGCAGUGUAGUAUGCAACCAGGAAACACGAAGUCGGAUUAGCUCGUAAUCGCGAAUCAGAAUGUGGCGGUGAACCAGUUCCCGGCUUGAGCCCACACCGCCCGUCA
rnacentral:rRNA from 1 species